UACAGAGGGUGCAAGCGUUAAUCGGAAUUACUGGGCGUAAAGCGUGCGUAGACGGUUACAUAAGUCGGGUGUGAAAGCCCCGGGCUCAACCUGGGAAUUGCAUUCGAGACUGCGUAGCUAGGGUGCGGAAGAGGGAAGCGGAAUUUCCGGUGUGAGCGGUGAAAUGACGUAGAUAUCGGAAGGAACACCAGUGGCGAAAGCGGCUUCCUGGUCCCAGCACCGACGUUCAGGCACGAAAGCGUGGGGAGCAAACAGG
rnacentral:rRNA from 1 species